ACCUGGGUGGCUCAGUUGGUUGAGCAUCCGACUUCAAGUCAGGUCAUGAUCUCGCACUUUGUGAGUUUGAGCCCCGCCUCAGGCU
rnacentral:tRNA from 1 species